GAUGAAGAACGUAGCGAAUUGCGAUAAGUAAUGUGAAUUGCAGAUUUUCAGUGAAUCAUCGAAUCUUUGAACGCACCUUGCGCCCUUUGGCUAUUCCGAAGGGCAUGCCUGUUUGAGUAUCGUGAACACCUCAACUCUCAUGGUUUGCCAUGAUGAGCUUGGACUUUGGGGGUUUUGCUGGCCUUUGGUCGGCUCCUCUCAAACGGAUCAGCUUUCCAGUGUUUGGUGGCGUCACGGGUGUGAUAACUAUCUACGCCUGUGGUUUUCUGCCAGAUAACCUUCAGCGAUGGAGGUUCGCUGGGGCUCAUAAAUGUCUCUCUUCAGUGGAGACAGCUUUUUGGACGUUUGAUCUCAAAUCAGGUAGGACUACCCGCUGAACUUAAGCAUAUCAAUAAGCGGAGGA
rnacentral:misc_RNA from 1 species